rnacentral:rRNA from 1 species
CGGAACACGUACGCAACCUUCCUUUAACUGGAGAAUAGCCCCUCGAAAGAGGGAUUAAUACUCCGUAACAUGAUGAUAAGGCAUCUUAUUAUUAUUAUAGCUCCGGCGGUUAAAGAUGGGCGUGCGCCUGAUUAGGUAGUUGGCGGGGUAAUGGCCCACCAAGCCUGCGAUCAGUAACUGGUGUGAGAGCACGACCAGUCACACGGGCACUGAGACACGGGCCCG